ensembl:snRNA U6 U6 spliceosomal RNA
GUGAUCACUACGGUGGCACAUAUACUAAAAUUGGAUUGAUACAGAGAAGAUUAGCAUGGUCCCUGUGAAAGGAUGACACGCAAAUCCGUUAAGCGAUCCAUAUUGCU